GUCUUAUGUUUAGGUCCUUAAUCCAUUUUGAGUUGAUUUCUGUGUGUGGUAUAAGAAAAGGGUCCAAAUUAGUUUGUUUGCAUGUAGAUAUCCAGUUUUCCCAAUACCAUUUGUUGAAAAUACUCCCUUUUUCCCUUGUAUCUUCUUAAUGUUCUUGUCAAAAACUAGUUGACCAUACAUGCUUGGGUUUAUUUCCAGGCUUUCUGUUUCGUUCCAUUGGUCUAUGUGUCUGUUCUUACACCAGUCCAAAACUAUUUUGAUUACUAUAGCUUUGUAAUAUCACUUGAAAUCAGGAGGUGUGAUGCCUCCAACUUUGUUUUCCAUUCUUAAGAUUGCUUUGGCUCUUCGAGGUCUUUCAUGGUUUUAUAUGAAUUUUAGAAUUGUGUUUUCUAUUUCUGUGAUGAAUGCCAUUGGAAUUUUGAUAGGAAUUGUAUUGAAUCUAUAUAUUACUUUGGGCAGUAUGGACAUUUUAACAAUAUUAAUUCUUCCAUCCCGUGAACAUGAGAUAUCUUAGCAUUUAUUUAUCUUUUUCAGAUUCUCUCAUGAAUGUUUUGUAGUUUUUAGUGUACAGAUUUUUCACCUUGUCAGUUAAACUUAUUCCUAAGUAUUUUAUUCAUUUUUUUACUAUUGUAAAUGGGAUUUUCUUGAUUUCUUUUCCAGAUAGGUUGUUACUGGUGUGAAUAUAUAUAACUGAUUUUUGUAUGUUAGUUUUGUGUCCCUUUCAAUUAAAAUAAAAUGUAAAAAGUAAUCUCAAUAAAGAACAUUCAUAUUGUUAAAAUUUUAAUUACUAAAGCCUAGAUCCAAUACUUUAAAUUACAUUAAUUAGGACCAAAGAGAAAAGGAAUAUGGGGAGAAGGAGAAGAAGUGGAAAGCUAUCUGACAUUCCUUGUUUACUUAGGAGGAAUUGAGACUCUUAGAAAUACUGAUUUAAAAUAGCUAAACUUGGUUUAAAAAUGGCUUCAAAUACUUAAAGGCUUUUAAAAUUAUACUCUGAGUAAAUAUAUAUAUACCUUUGAAAAUACUAGAGAAAAUAAAAACAAAAUAUAACUCCUAUUUUAAAAAUUAUUUUAUUUAUUUAUUGUUUUUAAAAGCCAGGCUGUAGGGUGACUACAGCCAGGGACCUGCCACCAUACAGAGCCCAAUCCCAACCCCUAUUAAAAAAAACAAAAGAAAGAAAGAAUGAAAAAAAUUGAAAAAACACAAAUAGAAAGAAAGUUACUAUUUAAGCAAUAAAAAUUUAUAAGAAAUUACAGAAAUCACUUCCAAUAAGAAAUAUGAAUGAAUUGGGUCAGGCGCCGUGGCUCACACUUGUAACCCCAGCACUUUGGGAGGCCGAGGUGGGCGGAUCACCUGAAGUCAGGAGUUCAAGACCAGCCUGAGCAAGAUGGUGAAACCCCGUCUCUACUAAAAAUACAAAAAUUAGCCAGGCCUGGUGGCACAUGUCUGUAGUCCCAGCAACUUGAGAGACUGAGGCAGGAGAAUCACUUGAGCCUGGGAGGUGGAGGUUGUAGUGAGCUGAGAUCAUGCCACUGCAUUCCAGCCUGGGCAACAGAGCAAGACUCCACUAAAAAAAAAAAAAAAAAAAAAAAAAAAAAAAAAAGAAGAAGAAGAAGAAGAAGAAGAAGAAGAAGAAGAAAAAGAAAAGAAGAGAAAAGAAAGAAAUAUGAAUGAAUUGAACCUUGAUUAAAAGAUAAGCACUUUUUGGCUAAAAAAUGUCAUUGUAUCAUAUCUCAAAGGGAAAAUAAAUAGUAAAAAAAAAACCCUUUCAUUUGUGCCAAUAUUAUAGACAAAAUAACCCACACAACUCUUAAUAAAAACAUCUAGAAAAAUUCAAUAAUAUGUGAAAUAGCUGCUUGUGAAUGUAUUGCAGAACCAUAAGAAGUAUCCCCAAGAGCAUAGAAACAAAGAGGUACAAAAAGCCAGAAUGAUGAAUCUGGGAGCUUACAUUGCAGGGAUUGAUUCCCCAAUCUGGGAAACAUAAUGACUUGAAUUUUAAUAGAUACGCAGGUUGGAAACAAAAUUUUAAAUGAAUACAAGGAAGAAAGUUGGAACUAAGACAACUGCAUAAAUCUGAAGCUUUAAAUUGCAACACCUUCAUUGAAAGAAUAGAGGAAAGGAAAAGUUUACUCACUGUCCUAGAGGAGAACAAGGAUGCUUGCCACUCUUGGCUUGGGUGGAGUGAGUAAGACAAAAUAAUUUCCCCUCAGAAUUCUUAUCAUAGGCCUUCACUCAUAUGGAUUUCAAAUUCAAAUUUAUGCUACUUGAAUAAUCUCAGAUCUCCCAAGCCAAGAACUCAACUGAAAAAAGCAGUUAUAAGUAGAUAAUACCCUGGGAACAUUAGAGGGAAGAAAAUGCAAGAGGCACACAAAGUCCACAGAAUUCCCAAAACAACAUUAGACCCCUAUUAUAGAACUAUCAAAGAAACACUUUUAGAUAUCAGUAUUUUAAAUAAUAAAGGAAGACACUAUAAAAAGAAUCUAUAGAUUUCAGAGAGAACCACAUAGAACAGGAAAAAUUUUAAAAAGACAUUGAAAUUAAAAACUAAAUGAAUAGGUUUAAGAGAUUAAAAUGCUUGAAGAGUGAUCUACUGAACUUUGAAUUAAUUUUUCAAAAUUAACUAUAAUGUAACACAGAAAAGCAAAGAGACAUAAAAUCUUAAAAACCAUUGAGAAAUAUGGGUGAUGCAUAAUUUAUUUAAUACUUAAGAGAAAAUAAUGGAAGGAAUGGGUGGAUAAGGAAUACUUAAAGAAACAAUGGCAGAUAAAUUUCUGAACUGACGAACAAAUGAAUUAUUCAGAUUCAAGAAGCAGAUUUAAGAAGUCCUGAGCAGAAUAAACAAAAAAAAAAUUCCUAACUAGACAAAUCAUAAUGAAACUAAAGGACACCAAAGAUAGGGGGAAAAAAAUCUUUAAAGUUAUCAGACAGAAAUGAGAAGUUGCUCACAUGAAAUGACAACUAGACUUCUCAGCAGCAAGAUGUACAUAUAGAAAGAAAAUAAAAUUAUAUAUAAAAUUUUUAAUUCUAAAAUUGUAUAUACCUAAAUUUCUAUAUCCAGAUAAAUUUGUAUUCAAGACUAAGAGCAAAAAAAAAAGUUGUAAAGACAUUUUAAAGUAAGACUGAGGGAAUUUACCACUAAGACACUAUCUCUAAGAGAUUUACUAAAGGAACUAUUUCAGGAAUGAAGGAAAUAAUUCAGAAAAGCAAAGUUAGAGGAAAGUUUACUUGUUUACCCAAUGGUAAACAUGUGGGUAAAUCAUUAGUGUUUCUAAAAACAAGGUAACACUAAAAUGUUGAAUAACAGCAUUUAAGAUGGGAGUUGGAAAGCUGAAAGUUUUCUAAUGCCCUGGUACCAUUCCGAAAGCAAGCAGAAAUAUUGAAUAAUUUUAGAUGUUGUCAAAUCAACCAUGCUUUAAACUGUUAAAGUUGACCACUGCUAGAUAAGCAGAAGAAAAAAAGGGGAUUAAUGAAAAUUAAUCAGUACAAUAGAAAGUAGGAAUAAAAAAGCAAACUGUAUAUAAAGCACAAACUGAGAUAAUGGAAAUAAAUCUAAAAUUACUAGCAAUCAGAAUAAAUAAAACUGAAAUAAACUCAUCAUUUAAAAGACAAAUAUCAGAUUGGUUAAGAAUAAAUCCAGUUAUAUACUAUUGGAAGAAAUACAUCCAAAAGUCUACGGCCAUACCACCCUGAACGCGCCCGAUCUCGUCUGAUCUCGGAAGCUAAGCAGGGUUGGGCCUGGUUAGUACUUGGAUGGGAGAAAUACAUCCAAAAACACGAUGACUCACAUGUAUUCGAAGUAAACAGAUAAGAAAAAAAAACAGGCAAAUAUUAUUUUUUAAAACUGGGAUAACUAGACUAAUGCCAAACAAAAUAAAUAUUAAGAUAAAAGCAUUAUUAAUAAUAAAAAGGAUCAUUACAUAAUAAUAAAUGGAAUAAUUCUUUUAGGAACACAAUAAAUUCUGAGUUUCUAUGUACCUAAGACACAGCCUCUAAUCAUAUAAAGAAUAAAAAGGCAGAAUCUCAAGAAAAAAUGGACAAAUCUCUCAUUAGAAAGUGAUUUUAACAUAAUUCAUUUUGUUAUUUAUAAAUCAGGCAGAUGAAAAUUGGUAAGUAAAUGGAAGUAAGCAACAACUUAAUUUAAUUUAGUGGAUGUAUAGAGCCCUAUCCAAUCACGAGCAAUUAUACAUUCUUCUCCAGUAUAUGUGGAACAAUUGCAAAACCUGAUGACUUACCACCAAACAGCAAGGCUCAAUAAAGACUAAAUAAUUUGUCACACAGAUCAUAUUCUCUGACCUCAACACAAUUUAAUCAGAAAUCAAUAACCAAAGAAACUUUGAAAAACGCAUUUAAAUAAACUUUAAAUAAGGACUCAUAAGGGGUACUGAAAAAUAUUUAAAAUUUAAUGAUAAUUAUAACACUACCAUUCAAAACCUUGGCAUGCAGCUAAAGUGGUAUCUACAGGAAAUUUAUACCUUACCUUGGAACAUUAGAAAGAAUAUUAGAAUAGAAGAAAAUUGAUAAGAUAAAUAUGUAAACACAGAAAUGAAAAAUAAAGAAAUUAUCAACAAGGCUCCCACAUCUCAAAGCUUACUCACUGAAAAAAAUAAACUAAUAAAAUACAAAAAAACUUCUGCCAAGACUGUGCUAGUUUGCAAGAGGUGGGGUGGAGUGUAUAAUGGGACAAAACAAAAUUAAAUAAUGUUAUGGAUGGAAAAGAGGGCAUACGGAUAGAGUAAAACUUUAAAACAGUAGAAAAUACUGUGAACCAUUUGAAUGAAAUAGCAAUUUUUCUUGAGAACAAAAUACAAUAUAUCAAACCUGAUUCACAAUAAAAAAUAGAAUAUUUGAGUAGACUGAUUUUCACAAAAGAAUUUGAAUCAGUAAUUAAAAAUCUACCCACCAAAAAAAGAAACAACAUUAAGUCUAAACGGUUUUGUUAGUGGGUUCUAAUCCAAACACUCAAGGAUGUAUUUCCUGAAUGAUGUUAGGAAGCUGACAUAAUCCUUGUCCCAGGAUUGAAAAAGUUGUCUAAUUUUAGAGAAAUCUAUUGUCCCAUUUACUGAUUAAAGGACAAAACAUAUAUAUGAUCAUCUCAAUAGGCACAGACAGAAUAUUUGAUUAAAACUCAGAACAUUUUCACAACUUAAAAAUAUUUAAUAAAAUAAUAGAAAGGGACUUGAGACAUGGUUUCUAUCCAAACCCCAGAGAAAACAUUACAUUUCAUGGCAAAACAUCGGACGCAUUCUCUUUAAAGUGGGGAAGAAGAAAGGAUGCCUACUCUCCUUGUUUCCAGUCAGCAUUUCACUGCUGGUUUGAGCUAGCGCUGUAAGACAUAAAAGAGAGAUGAAAAAUAUAAGGAGAGGACAGAAAGAAAGAAAGCUACAUUAGGCCACAGACAGCAAGAUUUUGUAGAAAACCCAAGAGACUGUACAGGGAAAUCAUUAGACCAAACAAAAAUCAUGAGCAAGUUUGCUAGUUACAAAGUCAAUAUAUAAAAAUCUGUUGCUUUCUUAAACAUCAGCAACAAAUAAGAAUAAGUAAUUUUUUAACAAUGCAGCAUUUUUUCUCCUACUACUUUUACUUUAGGUUCCAGGAGUACAUGUACAGGUUUGUUACGUGGGUAAAUGAGGCUUGGUGUACAAAUGAUCCAUCACCCAGGUAGUGAGCGUAGUACCCUGAUGGGUAGGCUUGCAGCCCACCACCCUCUCCCGCCUUCCUCACUGAAGCCGUCCCCAGUGUCUGUUGUUCCCACCUUUGUGUCCACAUGAAUAAUACAGCAUUUUAAUGGCAAUAAAAACUCUAAUAUAUCUUGGAACAAAUCUUAAGAAAGUUUGUAAAGGCCUUAUGAAAAAAUAAAAAUUUAUUAAACAACAUUUAAAUAACUGGAGAGAUAUACUGUGUUUAUGGGUGAGAAAUCUCAUGGCUAUUAUCCCCAAUUUUUCCUAUAGAUGCAAUACAAAUACAAAAAAAAUCUAUAAUUUUUUUGAAGAAUUUGACAAUUUGACCCUGAAGUUCAAAAGCAGAGGCAAGAAUAACGAAGACAAUUUUGAAGACAAACAGAAUGGAAGGCUUUGCCUUAUCAGCUAUCAAAACUUAUUAUAAAGCUACCAUAAUUAAAACAAUAUGGAAUUGAUAUAGAGAUUUAGGAUCAAUGUAUAUAUGAAAACUCCAUGUCAAGGGAAGUAUUACAAAAUGGUGAGAAAGAAUAAACUAUUCAAUAAGCGUUGCCAAGACAAUCUGAAAAAUAAAAUUUGAUUCCUUUCUCACACAAAUAUCAAUUCCAGGUGGACUGAAAACCAAUAUUAAAAGGAAGACUUCAUAAUAUUUUUAAAUAUAACAUAGGAGAAUAGCUAAAUGCAGUGGGCUGUAAGGAGGAGAAUGUCAUAAACAGGACACAAAAAGCACAAACUACAAAGGAAAAUACAGAUACACUUGAUUAAUAAAAUGAAAACUUUGAUGUAAAAAGACACCAUAAACAUAGUUAAGCCAUACACUGAGAGAAACUAUCUGCAACUUAAUUUAAAAAGUAUUAGUAUCUAGAAUAUAUAAAGAAUUUCUAUAAAUCAAUAUGAAAUAAAUGUGUCAAAAGCACCCAAGUGCUCGCGUUGAUAGCACAUUACUAAAAUUGGAAUGAUACAGAUUAGCACGGCUCCUCUGCAAAGGUAACAUGCAAAUUUGUGAAGCACUCCAUAUUUUUAUACCACAUACAAAAGGACAAAGGCUGUAUGUCUCCACUUACAUGAAAUAUCUAGAGUAGGUGAAUGCACAGAGAUAGCAAAUAGAUUAGUGGUUACCAGGGGAUGGGGGAAGAGGAAUCGGGAGUUAUUGCUUAAUGAGUACAGAGUUUCUGUUUGGAAUGAUAAAAGGGCUUUGGAAAUAAAUACUGGUGAUGAUUGCAUAGCAUUGUGAAUUAUACAGUUAAAAUGGCUGAAAUGAAAAUUUUAUAUUAUAUAUUUCGACUACAAAAAAGCAUCCAGUGUUAAAAAGGGGGCAAAAGAUUCAAACAGACAUUUCAGAUACAAGUAACUAUGAAUAAGCUAACAAUAUCUGAAAAAAUGUACAACCUCAUUUGAUAAUGAAAACAAUACUGAGAUAAUGCUUCUCACCCACUGAUAGGUAAACAUAAUAAAGUCAGACAAUAGCUAGGGUUCGUAGAAUACAGAGCAACAAGAGCUGUCAUAAAAUGCCGGUAGGAGUGUAAAUUGCUUCAAAGGUUUUGGAUAGGAGUAUGGCAUCACUCAGUGAAGUUUAACAUGUGCUUCUUUAUGUAUUAAUUAGAGUAAGUACAGGCUGACAUAAUAAAGAUACUAACAAU
rnacentral:lncRNA from 1 species